rnacentral:rRNA from 1 species
GGGUGAACGCUGGCGGCGUGCCUAACACAUGCAAGUCGAUCGGAGCAGCAAUGCUUAGAGGCGAACGGGUGAGGAAAACGUAGUAACCAACCCUUUAGACUGGGAUAGCCACUGGAAACGGUGGGUAAUACCGGAUAAGCUCGAGAGAGGAAAGGCAGAGAAGCGCUAAAGGACGGAACUGCGCCCCAUCAGAUAGUUGGUGAGGUAAAGGCUUACCAAGUCAAAGACGGGAAACCGACGUGAGAGCGUGUACGGUCACAAGGGCACUGAGAGACGGGCCCUACUCCUACGGGAGGCAGCAGUGGGGAAUAUUGGACAAUGGACGAAAGUCUGAUCCAGCGACGCCGCGUGGAGGAAGAAGUCCUUCGGGAUGUAAACUCAUGAAGCUAACGAAUAAGACGGAAGGGGAACCUUCCGGGAGAAGGUAAUUAGUGAAAAGCCCCGGCUAACUACGUGCCAGCAGCCGCGGUAAUACGUAGGGGGCGAGCGUUGCCCGGAAUUACUGGGCGUAAAGGGAACGUAGGUGGCUCUUAAAGUCAGGUGUGAAAAUAACGAAGCUUAACAGGUUAAUGCGCUUGAAACUAAAGGGCUUGAGGGCAAUAGAGGGAGAUGGAAUUACCUGUGUAGGGGUGAAAUCCGCAGAUAUAGGUAAGAAGGCCGGUGGGGAAGCCGAUCUCCUGGGUUGACUCUGACACUGAGGUUCGAAAGCUAGGGGAGCAAACCGGAUUAGAUACCCGGGUAGUCCUAGCCGUAAACGAUGCUCACUGGGUGUGGGUCGAAAAGAUCUGUGCUGAAGCUAACGCGAUAAGUGAGCCGCCUGGGGAGUACGUCCGCAAGGAUG